GCUGAGCUUCCGUGCUUCCCACAGCUUUGACAACUAGGGAACCAAGCUGGAUCUGAGGGACGAGAAGGAAACCAUUGAGAAGCUGAAGGAGAAGAAGCUGUCACCGAUCACCUACCCCCAGGGCCUCGCUCUGGCUAAGGAGAUAGACGCAGUGAAGUACCUGGAGUGCUCAGCUCUGACCCAGCGUGGUCUGAAGACCGUGUUUGAUGAGGCCAUUCGUGCCGUGCUCUGCCCACAGCCCACCAAAGUCAAGAAGAAGGGCUGCAUCCUGCUGUGAACGACCCAGGACCAGAACCUCUAAACCUCCGACCCCGUGGUGAAAGACCACUCAAAUGUUUCCUGAUAGUUUGAAAUAAAACAGUGUUUAGUUCUAAAUCUACAGCUGAAAGUCUGUGAACAAAAAACAACCCUGUGUCGCUUAAAGAUA